rnacentral:RNase_P_RNA from 8 species
GGAAACGACCCGUCGCUGGCCUUAUGGCUAGAGGAAACAUCCCACACCCCGUUGAAAGUUUUGCUUUCAACGUAAAAGACCGCCUUCCGUGAGGGAGGGCAGUUCCUUUUUAAGGGGCUGACGACCAGUGCCACAGAGACGAGCCGCUUUAAAGCGGGUGAAACGAGGUAAACUCCGGUCGGGUGCAACUCAAAUAGGGGGGCGCUUUUGCGCAGUCCCGGGUAGAGGCAGCCGCCCACAAGCGGCACCGGCCCAAACCGGUAGAUAGAUGACGGGAUAAAACAGAAUGGGAGUUACGGUU